CGAAUCCGACCUUGGCUUCUGCUUCAUUCUGCGUUGGACUAAAAAUGCUAUACGUUUCAGUUUUGACAAAAUAUUAAGUUUCCAAAGCUCUUGAUAAACCAGAAUGGAUCUUUAGUUCAAGACAGUCCUUGAUGAUGGUGAUUAGGGUUCAUUGGGGUAGUACAGUAGUUGAUUGUUUGAUCUUUGUUAUUGAUUUUUGAGGCGAGACUACUUUGUUGUUUGACACCUUUGUUGUUACUUGAGUCCACUUAAGGACAGGAGGUUAUAGGCAGUUUAUGCGAUAUGGGUAACUGCAGUUUAGAAACGGCGCAUGUACUAAUGAGAACUGAUAUUUUAGCAACUGGCAAUCUCCGUUGAUGCCACAAAUCUUCUAGCAAGCUCGACUUCAUCAAUUGGUGGGUAUCUCCAAAGAAGGGCAAUCAACUAUCUGAUCACUGUAGAAGCCAAGAGUUAUUGAGCAAGCUGGGAGUUGAUGCAUCUCACCUGCGUCUUUGUUAGUCAAUAUUAAGAAGCUCAUAUCGAAACAAAGAAAUUGGGGGAUUUUUCUGAUCUACAGAUGAUAUAU